AUGCACAAUGCUAUUGUUUUCUUUGCAUGUGUCAAUACAACUACCUAAUAAUUAAAUAAUUUAAUUGUAAUCGUUUUCAAAAGUUUGAAUAGUACGUUUGAAUUCGCGCCGCGCGAUACGUGCACUAUAUAUGUGAUUUUCCGUUGUCUCUGUCAUUGUACUAUAGUUAAUUAAGCGGGAAACGCAACAAAGUAUAUUACUUUUUGCUUUGAUGAUUUCCCUCGUUAACAGCAAAAAACUUCGUUCGCUGAAUAAUCGUUGAAUAUCAACAAUUGUUUCUGCAAACUUGGAUAAUCACUUGUGUUAUUGCUUAAUCAACUCAAUUAGACCCGGAUAGUCGAAGAAUCUUGCCGCGUUUCCUGAGGAAGCUGUUGAUCGUCGACCCUCGCUUGCGUCCAUCUCCAGCUAGAGAGGGGCUGCUCAACAGGUCCUGGAAGCCUCGUCUUCUUCGACUGCACCUGGACAUUGAGUUUGUCAGGCAGCUUACACUACAUAUAUUUUCUGUUUCAUACACUCCAUCCUGCAACUUGAUUACUUUUCUUUCAUUAUUUCUCAUUACAACAAUAGUUCAUAUAGACUUUACUCAUUCUUUCUUAUACUUUCUAUUUUCGAGCCUAAUAUUGUCUACCACACCAUCGUCUGGACCAUCUACCACACCACAGCACCUGCGGUUCCUAGAAUAUUAUAUAAAGUUAGCUGAAAAAAACCACAGACAACAACAGCCACUCAGCGGAAGAUAAGAAUUGCAGCUUGCUUCUGAGGUACUUCGACAGGUUCAGCUCACCGUACUCACCAAUAUAGUUGGAAUAGCAAAAACACCAUCAGAAGCGCAGCCAGGAAUAUGCGUCAAAAUUAGGAUUAUCUUUAUAGAUAAGUAUAUUAUCUAGCGUUUAUAAUUUAUUCAAUUACAAAUUUAAAUCUGUUUUAUAUUUAUUUGCAGCGGCAGCAGCAAAGUCAACAAUAAUAACAAGGAAGUGUGCCGAUUGUUUUCCUCGCCUCCAGGAGUCGUCCAAUUUUCAACUGCUUUAUUUUAUUAUUUAAUAUUGUUCGUUUAUUAAUAUUAUUAUUAUUCUUGUUAUCAUUAUAUUAGAUUGAUCAAAGCUCAAAAAUUGUUAUGUAUAUAUUAUUCGAUAUCAUUGUUAUAUUUUUAUAUUUGUACUGCGCUAUAGUUUUAUUAUUUCAAUUGUAUUUAUUUAUUUAUAUUAAUGUUUUAAUAAAUCAUACAUAUUAAUUACCUACAA